AUCGAACGCUGGCGGCAGGCCUAACACAUGCAAGUCGAACGAGUGGCUGACGUGUGAGUAAUGUCUGGGAAACUUCCCGAUGGCGGGGGAUAACUACUGGAAACGGUAGACAAUACCGCAUACCAUCGGAUGUGCCCAGCUGGGAUUAGCUAGUAGGUCGGGUAACGUCUGGCCUAGGCGACGAUCCCUAGCUGGUCUGAGAGGAUGACCAGCAACACUGGAACUGUGGCGCGGUCCAGGCUCCUACGGGAGGCAGCAGUGGAGAAGAUUGCGCAAUGGGGGCAAUGCUGAUGCAGCCAUGCGGCGUGUAUGAAGGGGGCCUUCGGGUUGUAAAGUACUUUCAGCGAGGAGGCGUUACUCGCAGAAGAAGCUCCGGCUAACGCCGUGCCAGCAGCCGCGGUAAUUC
rnacentral:rRNA from 1 species